CUGCCCCUACGGGGGGCAGCAGUGGGGAAUAUUGCACAAUGGGGGAAACCCUGAUGCAGCAACGCCGCGUGAGUGAGGAAGUAUUUCGGUAUGUAAAGCUCUAUCAGCAGGGAAUAGAAAAGAAGGUACCUGAAAAAGACGCCCCGGCUAACUACGUGCCAGCAGCCGCGGUAAUACGUAGGGGGCAAGCGUUAUCCGGAUUUACUGGGUGUAAAGGGAGCGUAGACGGAAAGGCAAGUCAGAAGUGAAAGCCCAAGGCUCAACCAUGGGACUGCUUUUGAAACUGUCAAACU
rnacentral:rRNA from 1 species